UUUAAUUAUCUUGUGAAUAACAGUAUUUCUACAUAUACAAGGCAAAGAUCUUGGAUCCUAAUUGUUUUAUAUAUGUUUAUAUAGCUUUGAAUUUAUUUAUUGUUGUACAAGUCAAAUUGUAGAUAUAAUUCUGAAAACAGAAAGUAAAAUAUUAGUUGGUAAGCUGGGAAAAGAAAUUCUAUCGUCAUAUAUCUUAUUGAAGUUUUUGACCUCAUAAUCUUAAUUUUAUAACAGAAAGAUGACAACUGAAAGAUGGAUGAUGUACAACCUCUAAAAUUUUAUGACAGUAUUUAUUUUAUUUUAUUUUAUUUUAAAAUAUUUAAGUUUGGUAAUAUUCAAGCUACCUUGUCAAAGUAAUUAUUAACACAACUCAAUGCUUUACUAUACAAAUAAUGAAGGUUUUCAUAGAGGGUCAAAAAUUAGAAGUAAUAGUUCAUUGUUUUAAUAUAGAGCAAGAUAAAAAAAAUAAAAUAAAUAAAAUGUAGAAACCCCAAGUUCAA
rnacentral:lncRNA from 1 species